rnacentral:rRNA from 1 species
UACAGAGGGUGCGAGCGUUAAUCGGAAUUACUGGGCGUAAAGCGUGCGUAGACGGUAGCGUAAGUCAGAUGUGAAAGCCCCGGGCUCAACCUGGGAAUUGCAUUUGAUACUCUGAGACUGGAGUACGGGAGAGGAGAGUGGAAUUCCCAGUGUAGAGGUGAAAUUCGUAGAUAUUGGGAAGAACACCAGUGGCGAAGGCGGCUCUCUGGACCGUAACUGACGCUGAGGCGCGAAGGCCAGGGGAGCAAACGGG